CAUGCAGUCGAGCGGUAGCACAGAGAGCUUGCUCUCGGGUGACGAGCGGCGGACGGGUGAGUAAUGUCUGGGAAACUGCCUGAUGGAGGGGGAUAACUACUGGAAACGGUAGCUAAUACCGCAUAAUGUCGCAAGACCAAAGUGGGGGACCUUCGGGCCUCAUGCCAUCAGAUGUGCCCAGAUGGGAUUAGCUAGUAGGUGGGGUAACGGCUCACCUAGGCGACGAUCCCUAGCUGGUCUGAGAGGAUGACCAGCCACACUGGAACUGAGACACGGUCCAGACUCCUACGGGAGGCAGCAGUGGGGAAUAUUGCACAAUGGGCGCAAGCCUGAUGCAGCCAUGCCGCGUGUGUGAAGAAGGCCUUCGGGUUGUAAAGCACUUUCAGCGGGGAGGAAGGCGAUAAGGUUAAUAACCUUGUCGAUUGACGUUACCCGCAGAAGAAGCACCGGCUAACUCCGUGCCAGCAGCCGCGGUAAUACGGAGGGUGCAAGCGUUAAUCGGAAUUACUGGGCGUAAAGCGCACGCAGGCGGUCUGUCAAGUCGGAUGUGAAAUCCCCGGGCUCAACCUGGGAACUGCAUUCGAAACUGGCAGGCUAGAGUCUUGUAGAGGGGGGUAGAAUUCCAGGUGUAGCGGUGAAAUGCGUAGAGAUCUGGAGGAAUACCGGUGGCGAA
rnacentral:rRNA from 1 species